rnacentral:rRNA from 1 species
UAGGGAAUCUUCCGCAAUGGGCGAAAGCCUGACGGAGCAACGCCGCGUGAGUGAUGAAGGUCUUCGGGUCGUAAAACUCUGUUAUUAGGGAAGAACAAAUGUGUAAGUAACUAUGCACGUCUUGACGGUACCUAAUCAGAAAGCCACGGCUAACUACGUGCCAGCAGCCGCGGUAAUACGGAGGUGGCAAGCGUUAUCCGGAAUUAUUGGGCGUAAAGCGCGCGUAGGCGGUUUUUUAAGUCUGAUGUGAAAGCCCACGGCUCAACCGUGGAGGGUCAUUGGAAACUGGAAAACUUGAGUGCAGAAGAGGAAAGUGGAAUUCCAUGUGUAGCGGUGAAAUGCGCAGAGAUAUGGAGGAACACCAGUGGCGAAGGCGACUUUCUGGUCUGUAACUGACGCUGAUGUGCGAAAGCGUGGGGAUCAAACAGG